CCGCCCCCGCCCCAUCCCUGAGCUCGUGAAGAGGUUCUGGUUGCUUGCCGCAGACCCGAAAUGUGAGUUCUCACUCUGAGGGCCUGGAAAGCAAGCUGCUGAGGAGAGUUCAGCCUGGUUGGGUUUCUCCUGCUUCUCUUCUGCCACGUGGCUUUUUUCCUCCACACGCCUGUUUGCCCAUCUGCUUUGCCAUCUGGCCACCCGCAUCAGAGACCAAGCAGAUGCUGCCACUAUGCCCUUGAAGUUCCAGACCCGUGAGCCAAGAUAAGCCUCUUUCCUGCAUAAACCACC
rnacentral:lncRNA from 1 species